AUGGAGGACUACCCGGAGGAGCUGCGGACGCCGCCGGUGUCGCUGGUGUCCAUCGUGGGGUGCCCGGAGAUGCACGCCACGAUCUCGGCGGCGCUCAGCUCCCAGCAGCCGCCCAUCAACACGCUGGCCCUCCCGGACUUCGCCAAGGCCAACAUCCUCUCCCGCACCGGCAAGAGCCGCGACCCGCUCGCGCCGCCGCAGGCCGCCACGGGGAUCCUCAAGAAGGACUGGCUCCUCAAGCACCGGACGCGGGUGCCCGCCGCCGUCGCCGCCAUGUUCCGGGCCGAUCAGGUCACCGGCGACCCCGCCCAGUGGCUCCAGGCCUGCUCCGAUCUCGAGAACCUCAAGUCUAUAAUCCAGGGAAGACAUACUAAAUUGGUGGUGAUCCUUGUACAGACUCAAGCUGGUGAUGAGCUGGGUGAGGAAGUUAUGGUUGCCCUGAGAAAACGUGCGGAGAUUGAUUCUAAGCACCUGAUUGUGUUGGUUGAGAGUGAUGAAGCAGAACGGAACGCAUCUCUCCUCAAAUUGAGGACUAUUUUUGCGGAGCUGUGUUCCACAUACUAUAAGGGGGAAGGGCGAAGGAUAAAAGCCCGCAUUGAGAAGAGGAACUUCUCUUCUGUGGAGCUGAGUGUCCGCUACUGCUUCAAGGUUGCUGUUUAUGCGGAGUUUAGGCGGGAUUGGCCAGAAGCAUUGAAGUUCUACGAGGAAGGAGUUCGUGUUUUGCGUGAGAUGAUUGGGACUUCAACAAGGUUGCCUCCAACCCAACGCCUAGUUGAGAUAAAAGCAGUCGCCGAUCAAUUUCACUUUAAGAUAUCAACGUUGCUGCUUCAUGCUGGGAAGGUCGUAGAAGCAAUCACAUGGUUCCGUAAACAUAUCCGAAGCUUUGAGCGUGUUGUUGGAUCACCAGAAGUUGCUUUUCUUCAUUGGGAAUGGUUUAGCAGGCAGUUCCUUGUCUUUGGUGAGCUAAUAGAGACAACAUCAACAACUGUUCCAGAUACAAUAUCCCCCCGGUUUGGUACUGCUGACAAUGCAUUGACUGAGUGGGAAUUUCAGCCAGCUUACUACUACCAGUUAGCGGCAAAUUACCUCCGAGAGAAGAGGUGUGCUUUAGAGUGCCCUUCGUCAAGUGCAAAUCUUACCGGUGAUAGCCAAAUACCUGACUCCGUAAUGUCUUCUGUAUAUGUUGGCCAGUAUGUCCGCCUGUUUGAGGAAGGAGAUACCAUUUCUGUGCUUCCCCUUUCUGAUACAGAAUAUACCAGUUAUGCUUUGUCAGAAGCUGAAAGGUUUCAAGAUUCGUAUGAGAUAAUUGCAUUGUUCAGAAAAGCUUAUGAAUCAUUUCUGAGUCUAGGGGCUACGAGAAUGGCUUCUUCCUGUAGUGCUGGAAUGGCUAUAGAAUAUUAUGCAGCUGGGGAAUUUGGUAACGCAAAAAAACUUUUUGAUGGCGUCGUUGGUCUAUACCGUCAGGAGGGCUGGACUACUUUGCUUUGGGAAAACCUGGGUUACUUGAGAGAAUGCUCAAGGAAACUUAAUUCUCUGGUGAAUUUUAUCAGCUAUUCACUAGAGAUGGCUGCAUUACCGUUAUUCUCUGGCAGUGUACAGGGCAACUCUGAAAAUAAAAGUAAUGGACCAGCAGGUUGGCCUACCAUUUCCAGGAGAGAGGAAAUACAGCAAGAAGUUGUCGAUAUUCUUGAAGGAAAACAUACAUCCCAAGUUAUCGAUGAUGAAUUUAAUCUUCAGUUGACGGAAGAAUCUACUCACCUAGUUAUUGAUCAAAUAAGUCCUCUAAGAAUAGUGCUUGUUGCAUCUGUUGCUUUUCAUGACCAAUCUGUAAAACCUGGCUCACCUCUGCUUGUCAGCGUGUCAUUGUUGUCUCAUCUUCCUUCUCCAGUUGCAAUUGAUCAAUUGGAGGUUCAGUUCAACCAAUCUGACUGUAACUUUGUCAUGGUUAGUGCACAGGAAGAUUCUUCUACGUUGAAUUCAGAUGUUUAUGGCCAAGUCGUCCAUUCUACUUCUCUUACAUUGUUCAGCAAUAAAUGGAUGCGGUUGACGCAUGAAGUUAAAUCAGGACAAAGUGGAAAGUUGGAAUGUUUAUCGGUGAAGGCAAUAAUAAAUAAGCACCUUGUGGUUUGCUGCCAGGCUGAAAGUCCUGCUUCAAUGGAAGACUUCCCGCUGUGGAAAUUUGAGGAUCAAGUGGAGACAUUGCCUACAAAGGAUGCUGCACUCGCCUUUUCCGGGCAGAAACUGAUUCAAGUCGAAGAGCCAGACACUCAAGUUGACCUUGUCUUAGAUUCUACUGGCCCUGCGCUGGUUGGAGAGUUGUUUGUUGUCCCAGUAACCAUAUUAUCAAAAGGGCACGCAGUUCAUUCUGGUGAGCUGAAAAUUAAUCUUGUCGAUGCCAAAGGCGGUGGUCUUCUGAUGAGUCCAGGGGAAGCAGACGAAUCUGAAAGCCAUCACGUUGAACUUCUUGGUGUUUCAACCGCAAGUGGGGAUGAAGUGUCGAAGGAAGAAGUCGAUAACAUUAAAAAGAUUCAAUAUUCAUUUGGGGUCGUAUCAGUUCCCACGUUAGUUGCUGGUGAUUCCUGGUCCUGCAAAUUGGAAAUUAAAUGGCAUGGAGCAAAGUCACUCAUGCUCUAUGUUUCACUUGGCUAUUCUCUAGACUCGAGUGAAGAUGCAUCACUACACAGACUUAACGUGCACAGAAGCUUGCAAGUUGAAGGAAAGAUCCCCAUGAUAGUUGGUCACCAGUUUUUGAGACCAUUUAGGCGAGAACCCUUGUUGCUAUCCAGGAUCAGAUCCUCAAGCGACAACAAUAAAAAAGAUUCACUUGCUAUGAACGAGUCCAAUAUGCUUAUUGUGAGUGCUAGAAAUUGCACCGAGGUCCCUUUGCGUUUGCACUCGAUAGCCAUUGAAUCUGAUGGUGAUGGGAAGCAGCUGUGCUCUGUGGAACAAAUCAGCGGACUAUCGGAUGAAUACGCGGUUGUUGCUCCUAGCGCAGAAUACAAAGCAAUAUUUUCAGUCAAUCCAAGGGCCAGCAAUCCAGACUUUUAUUUAGGUGAACUUUGCCUGAACUGGUCAAGAGAUUUAGUCCUUGGAGAGAAUCAAGAUAGCCGUGUUACAAUGAAGCAAAGAUUACCCGAGGUUCAUAUCGAGGAGCCGCCGCUUGUUGUGAGCAUCGAGUGCCCUCCCUACGCUAUCCUCGGGACCCCGUUCACUUUCUAUGUGAAGAUCCACAAUUCAACAUCCUUACUCCAGGAAAUCAAGUACUCUCUUGUUGAUUCCCAGAACUUUGUUUUCUCUGGGGCUCACAAUCAUGCCGCAUUCAUUCUGCCGAAAACCGAGCAUACUGUUAGUCACAAGCUCGUGCCGCUUGGUUCCGGUUCCCAGCAGCUGCCGAGGAUAACAGUAACUUCGGUGAGGUACUCUGCUGCAUUGACUCCUCCAACCUCAGCCACAUCCGUCUUUGUGUAUCCCAGCGAGCCCAAAUUCAACCUGGAAAAGAGCCACCCCAUAUCCGAUGAAUGCGUGAGCUAG
rnacentral:rRNA from 1 species